rnacentral:rRNA from 1 species
GAUGAACGCUGGCGGCGUGCCUAAUACAUGCGAGUCGAGCGAACGGACGAGAAGCUUGCUUCUCUGAUGUUAGCGGCGGACGGGUGAGUAACACGUGGAUAACCUACCUAUAAGACUGGGAUAACUUCGGGAAACCGGAGCUAAUACCGGAUAAUAUUUUGAACCGCAUGGUUCAAAAGUGAAAGACGGUCUUGCUGUCACUUAUAGAUGGAUCCGCGCUGCAUUAGCUAGUUGGUAAGGUAACGGCUUACCAAGGCAACGAUGCAUAGCCGACCUGAGAGGGUGAUCGGCCACACUGGAACUGAGACACGGUCCAGACUCCUACGGGAGGCAGCAGUAGGGAAUCUUCCGCAAUGGGCGAAAGCCUGACGGAGCAACGCCGCGUGAGUGAUGAAGGUCUUCGGAUCGUAAAACUCUGUUAUUAGGGAAGAACAUAUGUGUAAGUAACUGUGCACAUCUUGACGGUACCUAAUCAAAAAGCCACGGCUAACUACGUG